rnacentral:rRNA from 1 species
GAUGAACGCUGGCGGCGUGCCUAAUACAUGCAAGUCGAGCGAACGGACGAGAAGUUUGCUUCUCUGACGUUAGCGGCGGACGGGUGAGUAACAUGUGGAUAACCUACCUAUAAGACUGGGAUAACUCCGGGAAACCGGAGCUAAUACCGGAUAAUAUUUUGAACCGCAUGGUUCAAAAGUGAAAGACGGUCUUGCUGUCACUUAUAGAUGGAUCCGCGCUGCAUUAGCUAGUUGGUAAGGUAACGGCUUACCAAGGCAACGAUGCGUAGCCGACCUGAGAGGGUGAUCGGCCACACUGGAACUGAGACACGGUCCAGACUCCUACGGGAGGCAGCAGUGGGGAAUCUUCCGCAAUGGGCGAAAGCCUGACGCAGCAACGCCGCGUGAGUGAUGAAGGUCUUCGGGUCGUAAAACUCUGUUAUUAGGGAAGAACAUAUGUGUAAGUAACUGUGCACAUCAUGACGGUACCUAAUCAGAAAGCCACGGCUAACUACGUG